AGCUUUGCAGAGUGGCAGUAUCAUAGCCGAUGAGGUUUGUCCGAGGCGCGAUUAUUGCUAAUUAAACAACAACAACAACAACAACAACAACAAGAUAAGAAAACAAAGCUUUGCUUUGAAAGAUCUUACAGAU
rnacentral:snRNA from 1 species